rnacentral:tRNA from 1 species
UUAAAGUUUUAGUUUAUUUAGAAUAAAGAAUUGUAAAUUCUUAGGAUUUUGCUUUG